rnacentral:rRNA from 1 species
GAUGAACGCUAGCUACAGGCUUAACACAUGCAAGUCGAGGGGCAGCAUGGUCUUAGCUUGCUGAGGCCGAUGGCGACCGGCGCACGGGUGAGUAACACGUAUCCAACCUGCCGUCUACUCUUGGACAGCCUUCUGAAAGGAAGACUAAUACAAGAUGGCAUCAUGAGUCCGCAUGUUCACAUGAUUAAAGGUAUUCCGGUAGACGAUGGGGAUGCGUUCCAUUAGAUAGUAGGCGGGGUAACGGCCCACCUAGUCUUCGAUGGAUAGGGGUUCUGAGAGGAAGGUCCCCCACAUUGGAACUGAGACACGGUCCAAACUCCUACGGGAGGCAGCAGUGAGGAAUAUUGGUCAAUGGGCGAGAGCCUGAACCAGCCAAGUAGCGUGAAGGAUGACUGCCCUAUGGGUUGUAAACUUCUUUUAUAAAGGAAUAAAGUCGGGUAUGGAUACCCGUUUGCAUGUACUUUAUGAAUAAGGAUCGGCUAACUCCGUGCCAGCAGCCGCGGUAAUACGGAGGAUCCGAGCGUUAUCCGGAUUUAUUGGGUUUAAAGGGAGCGUAGAUGGAUGUUUAAGUCAGUUGUGAAAGUUUGCGGCUCAACCGUAAAAUUGCAGUUGAUACUGGAUAUCUUGAGUGCAGUUGAGGCAGGCGGAAUUCGUGGUGUAGCGGUGAAAUGCUUAGAUAUCACGAAGAACUCCGAUUGCGAAGGCAGCCUGCUAAGCUGCAACUGACAUUGAGGCUCGAAAGUGUGGGUAUCAAACAGGAUUAGAUACCCUGGUAGUCCACACGGUAAACGAUGAAUACUCGCUGUUUGCGAUAUACUGCAAGCGGCCAAGCGAAAGCGUUAAGUAUUCCACCUGGGGAGUACGCCGGCAACGGUGAAACUCAAAGGAAUUGACGGGGGCCCGCACAAGCGGAGGAACAUGUGGUUUAAUUCGAUGAUACGCGAGGAACCUUACCCGGGCUUAAAUUGCAGAUGAAUUACGGUGAAAGCCGUAAGCCGCAAGGCAUCUGUGAAGGUGCUGCAUGGUUGUCGUCAGCUCGUGCCGUGAGGUGUCGGCUUAAGUGCCAUAACGAGCGCAACCCUUGUUGUCAGUUACUAACAGGUUCCGCUGAGGACUCUGACAAGACUGCCAUCGUAAGAUGUGAGGAAGGUGGGGAUGACGUCAAAUCAGCACGGCCCUUACGUCCGGGGCUACACACGUGUUACAAUGGGGGGUACAGAGGGCCGCUACCACGCGAGUGGAUGCCAAUCCCCAAAACCUCUCUCAGUUCGGACUGGAGUCUGCAACCCGACUCCACGAAGCUGGAUUCGCUAGUAAUCGCGCAUCAGCCACGGCGCGGUGAAUACGUUCCCGGGCCUUGUACACACCGCCCGUCAAGCCAUGGGAGCCGGGGGUACCUGAAGUGCGUAACCGCGAGGAGCGCCCUAGGGUAAAACUGGUG